UGAAUCGUUUCCGCGGUCUUCAAAGCCGUUGAGGUCGUUCGCGCGGCGCCUGGUGGGUUCAAUUCCCAUCCA
rnacentral:tRNA from 1 species